GUCAGCAUGGCUUAGUGGUUUGAAUUUUGGAUUGCAAUGCUGGAGAUCAGGGUUUGAUUCCCACCUUGCUCAUG